rnacentral:rRNA from 1 species
AGUGAACGCUGGCGGUAGGCCUAACACAUGCAAGUCGAACGGCAGCACAGUAAGAGCUUGCUCUUACGGGUGGCGAGUGGCGGACGGGUGAGGAAUACAUCGGAAUCUACUUUUUCGUGGGGGAUAACGUAGGGAAACUGACGCUAAUACCGCAUACGACCUACGGGUGAAAGCAGUGGAUCUUCGGACCUUGCGCGAUUGAAUGAGCCGAUGUCGGAUUAGCUAGUUGGCGGGGUAAAGGCCCACCAAGGCGACGCUCCGUAGCUGGUCUGAGAGGAUGAUCAGACACACUGGAACUGAGACACGGUCCAGACUCCUACGGGAGGCAGCAGUGGGGAAUAUUGGACAAUGGGCGCAAGCCUGAUCCAGCCAUACCGCGUGGGUGAAGAAGGCCUUCGGGUUGUAAAGCCCUUUUGUUGGGAAAGAAGAGCAGCAGGUUAAUACCCCGCUGUUCUGACGGUACCCAAAGAAUAAGCACCGGCUAACUUCGUG